rnacentral:lncRNA from 1 species
GAAAACAGCUUCUGGAAAUGUCAAAGGAGAAAUUGUGGGGGGGCGGCGCUCAGAGGCCCCUUGGAUGCAGAAACACACAAGUUGGAGGGAGGCAAGUGCAGUCGUUUUUCCCAGUGUCAGGAGGGACACUCUGGCAGUAAACCUCUGCAGGGCGUGGAACAGGUUUCCAAGGUACCCGCAUUCCCUAAAUCAGAGUCUUGGCUGGACCCGGUAGGGGGAGGGGCGUGGACAAAGCCCCGUAGAUCUCCGGGUUCACGCGCCGCGGGCCCCACACAUCUCCCGGACAUUUCCUGGCAGGGCAGAGUUCUCAGUGGGGGAGGUAGUCCGGGGGUGGCGCUGCUGCGGACGGGGAGGCAAGGGGUAGCUACUUCCGGCGCAGGGGGACAGGCCCUCCGAGUCGGGCGGGCCAGCGAGCUGAGAGCAGGCGCAGGGGAGCCGGCGGCGGGCGGCUCGCAGUGCGGGCUUCCCGCCCGCUCCAGCCCCUCCGCCGCGCGCUCCCGCGCUCCGCUGCUCCCGCCGCGCCCGCUCCUUAGUAUUCCCCCCACGGAGCCGAGCGCCGCGCUGCAGUGGCUGGUCCGGGGGAGGGGCGCCCCGUCAGGCUCUGUCCUCCGCGUCCCCGAGGGUCGGGAGGUGGGUGGGCACCGAGCUCCUCCGCGGAACCCUCCUUUCCUGGCAGGGGACUGCCUAGGGUGGGGGGUGACGGGGACGGUGCGCUCCCCUCCCGCCCCCCCAGGUCGCCUUGGACCCAGGCGCCAGAGCUGUCAACAGCGCGAGGUGUCUCGGGCGGCCAGGGGAGGGGACGCGGUGCGGAGUGGCGUCCUGCACACCCCGCGCCGCAUUCCCGGACUGAGGGUACAGAUAAAGGGGAGGGGCCCUCCAAGCGCCUGCUCAAGUGUCCACUUCCUGCUCCUGAGGCUCCGAGGUGAGGAAGGGCCCGUGGCUCAUGUCUCCUGGACUGACUCCCUCAGCGCCCUACCCCUCACUUUAAUAGUCUUAGCGGGAGCCUGGGAUGGGGGCUCCACCCGGAGAGCUCAGCCACAGGCCCAUUAG